rnacentral:misc_RNA from 1 species
GAUGAAGAACGUAGCGAAAUGCGAUAAGUAGUGUGAAUUGCAGAAUUCAGUGAAUCAUCGAAUCUUUGAACGCACAUUGCGCCCUUUGGUAUUCCUUAGGGCAUGCCUGUUCGAGCGUCAUUUAAACCUUCAAGCUAAGCUUGGUGUUGGGUGACUGUCCGCUUCACUGCGGACUCGCCUCAAAAUUAUUGGCGGCCGGUACAUUGGCUUCGAGCGCAGCAGAAACGCGAACUCGGGCCCGUCGUAUUGGCUCCCAGAAGCUAUCUUCACAAUUUUGACCUCGGAUCAGGUAGGGAUACCCGCUGAACUUAAGCAUAUCAAAAGCGGAGGA